AUUCCCUAGCGAAGAUGGACAUGUCAGGAAGAUCGAAUUGAAGACUACCGACCAAGGCGAUGUGAAAAUUUACCAAAGGCCAGUUACAGAAGUUAUUCUACUUCUACCCAAUGACUGAUUAAGAGACUAAGUUUGUACUCUGCUCAUUAUGACCUUACGAAGGUCAAGCGGGGAGUGUGCUGUCUUUACGACAGUUAUUUAGUUUAUAAUAUUUUCGCUUAGUAAUUCAUUCAAUAGUGUUUUCUAGUUAGAAUUAGAAGUGUUUAAAGUGUAUUCAUUGCAUGUAAAAUAUAUCGGCAUGCGAUGACGUCACAUCCGGUUUCGCCGCGUCUUGUGGGAAAACACCGGUUUGAAAUUAGCGCGAGGGUGGGGGCUUUCCACGAGGCUCACCGGAGCAGAAGUUGUUUGCAGGCAUGAGAAAUCACAGUGAGAGCAACGCUGUAAGUUAAUAGAUAAUCGAUAUAUUGAACUAAGAUGUUAAUGCCGAUCCUGUUAGAAGUAACGACGGUAGAUAAUGUUUAUGCUUUCGUUAGUUAAAGAAUCGCGGAUAGUUUGCAUGGAAGUGUAUUUAAAGUAGUCAAUGGAGCAGGUAAACUCUCCCUGUAUACUGCACCUUAGUGUAAUGUAGUUAUAGUCACCUUUGCAAGUAUUUACACUUGAAACGUGAUAUUAAGGAAGGAACAAAUACUGUAUCCAUCUUGUAUUGUUUUAUCAACAGUUUUCACCAUAUGUUAAUGUGAAGAGUGAACAGUAAAUGGUUAAUCUUACUGCGAUCUGGUUUUCAUUGGCUGUGGUUUAUCCGGACGUUAAAUUCGGCGUUCGUUACACCCGAAGGAGAACGUUACAGCAUCAUUGUUAAUCCAGGAAGCAUCCUGGAACAUUUCCUGUGGAAGAGAUGAUUUCAUAUAUCCAGCAAUAUUGCUGUUAAUUGCUGUUUUAGUCAUAUUUAACCAUCUAAAAACAAAACAGUGUGCCCAUGAUGCACAAUGCAAGAGCGAAGAACAAAGGCCUGGAGAGAAAGUGGUUUUCCUUCAAGAUGGAGUUAUUGAACCCACAUAUAUUGACCCUUGUCCAACUCUGUUUGACAGUACCCUGGAACAACAAUGAGUUUCACUGCAUUACCAUUGCCCAAUUGAACUGAAAAAAAAAUCAAAGCCUGAAUUCCAAGCAUACAUCUCCACAAGAGGGUGUAUUUGAUGAUUAUAAGAGGGCUGGUACCUUAUAUUUCUGAAAUACAUCAGCUGAAGGAAAUCUCAUUUCCUUUGACUAACCAGAGGAUAUUGUUUCCAAAUGUGUCAUAAUGUACAGUGCUUCCAGUUGGAUUUUCAUGUCAGUUAGGGGGAAAUUAAUUUUCUGGAUUGCAGAGCUGUAAAUUCAGAUUGAGAAUGAGCCACAAAACUGGAAUUAAUCAUGGUCAAUUUUAAUAAAAAUGUUCAUCCACCAAACCCAUACUGUCAGUUUUGUAUGUUCACAAACAAGAGAAGAUCUGAAGAUGCUGGAAAUCUGAGCAACACGCAAAAUGUUGGAGGAACUCAACAGGCCAGGCAGCGUCUAUGGAAAAGAGUACAAUCAACAUUUCGGCCCAAAACUUCAACUGUGCCCUUUUCCAUUGAUGCUGCCUAGUCUGCUGAGUUCCUCCAGCAUUUUGUGAGUUUUGCAUGUUGAUGAACCCCAUGAAGCUGACCAUUGUAAAAAAUACUAUGACAUACUGCAGGUAAUGUGAUCAAUAACCAAGGGUGUUUUUGUCAUGAAUAUUGAGUGAACAUUUCAUUUCUAAGGUCACUUGGACUACCCUCCUCUUCAUAA